AGCCCAAUAGCUAGCCCAACCCCCUAAAAAUAACAAACCACUAUUAAACAAACCCUAACGCACCACACAAUGCAAAACAAACCAUUUUCCCCUCUUAGUAUGGGAGACAGAAAAGAGAC
rnacentral:rRNA from 1 species